ACGGGCCGGGUCUCUAUCCCAAUCAGUUGCGGUCGAGGAGAUCCAUAUAAUUUCCUUCGUCUCCCUCCUUUUCUUACCAGUUGAACUUCCGUGGGGUUUUGUUACAAACAGAGAGCCAGGGUUUGGGUUCGGCGUUGUGAUCUUUCUUCUCUUUGUUUUGUUUUCCUUAGUUGUUCUUAGGAUUUCCGAUUAAGCUCAGUUUCCGAGUCCAAACACACUCUUAUAUAGAGUUUGUGUUUCUUUGGUUCUGAAGAAAAUGAACGUUCCGAUAAUUGAUCCCCUGCAAGGGGAUUUCCCGGAGGUGAUAGAUGAAUUCCUGGCCCUGGAGAAUGGGGUCAUGAAAUGCGUGGCCUUUAAUCGCCGUGGCAUGCUACUCGCUGCUGGAUGUGCUGAUGGAAGGUGCAUUAUCUGGGAUUUUGAAACGAGGGUAGUUGCAAAGCAGCUUCAGGAUAAAGACUGUGCUGCUGCCAUAACAAGUGUAUGCUGGUCGAAGUACGGACAUCGUAUCCUUGUAUCAGCUGCUGACAAGUCAUUAACACUUUGGGACGUGGCCAGCGGAGAGAAGAUUACGCGCAUUAUCCUACAGCAAACUCCACUACAGGCCCGUCUGGAUCCUGGUUCGGCUGCUCCAUCUAUUUGCCUGGCAUGCCCACUCUCAUCUGCACCCAUGAUUGUAGACUUGAACACAGGAAGCACAACUUUGCUUCCAGUUACAGUUCCUGACUUGGAAGAUGGUGCCUUGGCUCCAUCACGCAAUAAACUUGCAGAUGGAGUUUCUCCUCCUUUGACACCCACUGCUGCAUGCUUCAACAAGUACGGUGAUCUGGUUUAUGUGGGUAACUCCAAAGGUGAAAUACUUAUAGUAGAUCACAAAAUCAAUCAAGUUCUUGCGGUGGUCCCGAUUUCUGGAGGUGCUGUUAUAAAAAAUAUUGUGUUCAGCAGAAAUGGUCAAUACCUCCUCACAAAUUCAAAUGAUCGAACAAUCAGGAUCUAUGAAAAUCUUCUGCCUCUGAAAGGCGGACUUAGAUCUCUUGAUGACCUGAAAAAGACCAUUGACGAGCCAGAUGUCGUUGAGAAGAUGAAGGGUGUAGGAUCAAAAUGCUUAAUUCUUUUCAGGGAAUUUCAAGAUUCUAUUACAAAGAUGCAUUGGAAAGCGCCUUGUUUCAGUGGUGAUGGGGAGUGGGUUAUUAGUGGCUCUGCUAGCAAAGGAGAGCAUAAGAUCUACAUAUGGGAUAGACUUGGCCGUCUCGUGAAAAUACUUGAUGGUCCAAAGGAAGCAUUGAUUGAUUUGGCAUGGCAUCCUGUUCACCCUGUCAUUGUCUCUGUUUCUUUGGGUGGUGUGGUUUAUAUUUGGUCUAAAGAGUAUACUGAGAACUGGAGUGCAUUUGCUCCGGAUUUCAAAGAGCUUGAAGAAAAUGAGGAAUAUGUAGAACGGGAGGAUGAAUUUGAUCUGAAUCCUAGAGAUGAAAAGGUUAAAGAGUCGGAUGUUGAUGAAGAUGAUGAAAUUGAUAUCAUGACAAUGGACAACGAUGAUUUCAGUGAUUCUGAUAUGUCACAUGAAGAACUCUGCUAUUUGCCUGCCAGCCCUUGCCCUGACAUUCCAGAGCAUCAAGACAAGUUUGUAGGAAUUUCUUCGAAGUUGUUGGACAGUAAUCAUUCUGGAUCUCCCUUUUCUGAGGCUGGACAGGAUGACCAGGCAAUGAACCGUGCAACAAGUCCACUUGAAGAGGACACGGGAGCAACACGGUUGAAGAGAAAAAGGAAACCCUCAGAGAAGGGGCUGGAAUUGCAGGGCACCUUCAGGAAACCUUCGAAACCUGGGAAAACAACGUCAAGAUCAUCAAAAGCAAAGAACAAAAUUGCAGCUAGCCAGGAUUUGGGAAAUGGUGAAUAUGAAGACGAUGACUCUGAUUGAUAACGCCCUUAGAGCCGGUCUAGCAUGUUAUCAAACUCCAAAAACAAAAUUGCAAUUACCUGGAUAACAAUAAAUAAUGGUGUACAAGUAGAUAAUGUUUCUGUUUCAUAACAUUAUAAUGUACUUAGAUGGGCAGCUUAUGCAUGUCCACAUCAUUUGUUAAACAUCUUGGUACUUGUUUAGAGGGAUUCUCUUCGGAUGUUGAUAAGUACCACAUCGGAAGAUGUGGGCAUGAGAAUGCAAUUUAUAAGUGACCAAGUGGUCUUCACAUUGUACCAAGGGUUUUCUAAAGGGGAUUGGACCCAAGGUAUUUGGCUUGGGGGCCUGUUGGGCCUCUGGGAACAGCCCAGCCCAUGCAUGGGUGGGGGUUGGGCCCUUGAUAUAAUGUGUUGGAAGGCUGGUUCUUAUCAGAUGCUUAGUACUUAAGUCCCCCUUGAUAUAAUGUGUUAGAAGGUUGGUUCUUAUCAUGCUUGGUACUUAAGUUUUAUAUUAUAUAAGCCAACUGUAUGACUAAGUCACAGCUUUUCACCAUGUUAAGUUUU